UAGGUGAAUUUUGACACUAACGAACGUCGUUUUUGAAAGACUGUCACUUUUACUGCCCUGGAUCCAUCUUUCCAGCCUUGUAGAAUAACGCCCUUGUUUCCCGCCUGAAAACUCACACGGUCGUGUCAGCUGGCAUGAGCUAACCCACCAGACAUGGAAACCAAACCUUUCUUGUCAUUGGUGAAGAUGUGAGUGACGGACGACCAUUCCAUUCCGCAGCACUCUCCUCUGGGUGUGAACGCCUCU
rnacentral:lncRNA from 1 species